GAUGAACGCUGGCGGCGUGCCUAAUACAUGCAAGUCGAGCGAACGGACGAGAAGCUUGCUUCUCUGAUGUUAGCGGCGGACGGGUGAGUAACACGUGGAUAACCUACCUAUAAGACUGGGAUAACUUCGGGAAACCGGAGCUAAUACCGGAUAAUAUUUUGAACCGCAUGGUUCAAAAGUGAAAGACGGUCUUGCUGUCACUUAUAGAUGGAUCUGCGCUGCAUUAGCUAGUUGGUAAGGUAACGGCUUACCAAGGCAACGAUGCAUAGCCGACCUGAGAGGGUGAUCGGCCACACUGGAACUUAGACACGGUCCAGACUCCUACGGGAGGCAGCAGUAGGGAAUCUUCCGCAAUGGGCGAAAGCCUGACGGAGCAACGCCGCGUGAGUGAUGAAGGUCUUCGGAUCGUAAAACUCUGUUAUUAGGGAAGAACAUAUGUGUAAGUAACUGUGCACAUCUUGACGGUACCUAAUCAGAAAGCCACGGCUAACUACGUG
rnacentral:rRNA from 1 species